rnacentral:tRNA from 1 species
GCCGGCGUAGCUCAGUGGUAGAGCAGCUCACUCGUAAUGAGCGGGUCGUCUGUUCAAAUCAGAUCGCCGGCUCCA